rfam:Thalassobacter sp. 16PALIMAR09 PM04_005, whole genome shotgun sequence.
GCGGAGGGUCGGAUGAUCGCGGCGCGUGUUGCACCGAGAAUUGCUCGGUUCCGUGUCUGCGGCGGCUCAGAUGGUCCGCCAAACCCACGGCCCCAAGAUUUAGCGUGCAAGACGUGCCGAGGAAAGUCCGGACUCCACAAGGAAACGGUGCCGGGUAACGCCCGGGCGGAGCAAUCCGACGGAAAGCGCCACAGAAAAUAGACCGCCCGAGCGUGCUCGGGUAAGGGUGAAACGGUGGAGUAAGAGCCCACCGCCGCGCUGGCAACAGGGCGGGCACGGCAAGCCCCACUGGGAGCAAUGCCAAAUAGGAACCGCGCGCCAAGGCAACUUGGCGGGGCCCCUUGGCCCCAGCAGGUUCGGGUUGGCAGCUAGAGGCGUCAGAGCAAUCUGGGGCCAAGAGGAAUGGUCAUCUCGAGGGCCCUUGUGGCCCUUAGACAGAAUCCGGCUUAUAGGCCCUCCGCGCAU